rnacentral:rRNA from 1 species
UACAGAGGAGCCAAGCGUUGUCCGGAUUGACUGGGCGUAAAGCGCACGCAGGCGGACGCGCGCGUGGGGUGUGAAAUCUGGCCGCUUAACGGCCAGGCGCCAUCCCAUACGGCGCGACUGGAGUGAUGCAGAGGUCGAUGGAAUUGCCGGUGUAGUGGUGAAAUGCGUAGAGAUCGGCAGGAACACCCAGGGGGGAAACCAGUCGACUGGGCAUCUACUGACGCUGAGGUGCGAGAGCGUGGGGGAGCGAACCGG